GCAGACACGCUGCAACUGAUUGAAUCAUGCUGGAGUGAAACCAAUCUUCUGUGAUACAAGAUCAGAGGAGUGAGCCAGGCCUUGGGCUGCCAGCGGAGGACGUGAAGUCAAGCCAGGGAGCCAAGGCCACUGUCAGCUCUCAGUGUUUAGAAUAACCCAGUAAAACCUCCUGGGAACCCGGGCUGGGAUCGGACCAGCGUUGGCAACGGGAAUGACUGAGAGAUGCAAUAAUUCAUCACCCUGGAGCUGGUGAGGCACUUUUUGGCCGAGAGACAGAGUGAUAGAGGAGAAAUUUUCAGAGAGGGGGGAGAGAGAGUUUACAGAGUUCCCUUGCAUGUUGUGAUACAGCUGACCCCAUCCUCAACUUUGACCCCUGACUCCGCCAGAGAUCUGUCAUGAGAGGGAGCUGCUUAACACAAAAUGGAGCCUGGUUCAAGAGUCAGAAAGAGAGAGAGACGGAGAGAGAGAGAGGGAGAGAGAGGCGCACAGAUGACUCAUUUAUCUUCUCUCUCUCGACCAGUUUUUUUCUUCCUCUCGUUUGCUUUCUCUUUUGUUUUCACUGCACAGAAACUGUUGCCCUUUCUUCCUAUACAUCUCUUCUCUUUCUCUCUGGCUCUCCCCCCCCCCCCCCCCCCCUCACCCUCGCCUGGUUGCUUUGGGACAACAGCAUGCCAUCAUCAGCGGCCACCACCGCCACCACAGGUACGGAUUCAUGGCGGCGAGGACCAGCAGGAUUCUGGGAGGGAAUUUGUGAGACGAGGCUUUAAUGAGAGAGAGGCCUCGUCAGCCGGCGAGAAAUGUAUGCAAAUGAGAUGCACACACCAAAAGGACCCUGGGUAGGCGAGGCAAGCGCCGGCCGAGCUCCCGCUGAGCUCUGAGGAAGAUGAGCGGCUCAGGUCAGAAGAAUGGCAACAAAAACCCUCCUACUCCUUUUCUUCUUGCCCUUUGUUUUUCUUCAUCCUGCAUCUAUGAGUGAAGAGACGAUACAAACUGGUUAACACACAAACUGAGAGACAAGGCUGCCGUGUUGCUACACAAUGGUGGUGUUGAUCUGUUUUCAUUUCUGGACUGCAGUUGCUAGGUAGAUUUUUUUUUUUUUGUCAUCUUUAUAAGCACACUGGCAUUUGUGGGAUAAACUAACAGGAGAUUAAACACAUCUGUGUUUCACAUCAAGACUUUCCUCUUUUAUUUGUUAUAAAUGAUGGCAGUAAAAAUAAAAAUAAAAACAGCAGAGAACUCUAAUUGUGCUUAUGGAAGUCAUUUUUUGUUAUUAGAGAAAUUUGACAUUAAUUUCUUUUGACACUUAAUUUGGC